rnacentral:rRNA from 1 species
UACGGAGGGUGCAAGCGUUAUCCGGAUUCACUGGGUUUAAAGGGUGCGUAGGUGGUUUGGUAAGUCAGUGGUGAAAUCUCCAGGCUUAACUUGGAAACUGCCAUUGAUACUAUUAAUCUUGAAUGCCGUGGAGGUCAGCGGAAUAUGUCAUGUAGCGGUGAAAUGCUUAGAUAUGACAUAGAACACCAAUUGCGAAGGCAGCUGGCUACACGAAUAUUGACACUGAUGCACGAAAGCGUGGGGAUCAAACAGG